rnacentral:lncRNA from 1 species
CAGAUAACGGGUGUGUGGAUGUAGACUUUAUAUAAAGGAGUACUGACACGAUCUUGAGGCACCCCAAAAGGGACAUUUCUCGUUUCCAUGCUGUGCACUAUCAACGCUCUCCACACACCGGAGGCAGACAACAUGUAUAAAAUAUAUUACUUGGAUUUU